rfam:Gossypium raimondii Chr08_contig_957, whole genome shotgun sequence.
AUGGUAUUAUUUUGGCAAAUGGGGUCUUCAUAAAGCAAUGGGGGGGGGGAGUUUGGGUGGGAUUCCUCCGUUCUCACCCUCAGCCCACAAUUAAAACAGUUUGGCAGUGCUUAUUACCCAAUAAGCUUUGCAUGGAAGAGGAUCCAUCCUACAGAGCACCUACCUAUCUGCGGAGGCUUUUUUGGCUAAUGCACUGGCAAAUCGGCAAGUCACGAAAAGGGCAAUCAACUCAUAGUAAUUAGUAUGAGUCUG